rnacentral:rRNA from 1 species
AUUGAACGCUGGCGGCAGGCCUAACACAUGCAAGUCGAACGAGUGGCGGACGGGUGAGUAAUGUCUGGGAAACUGCCCGUUGGAGGGGGAUAACUCCUGGAAACGGUAGCUAAUACCGCAUACGAUCGGAUGGGCCCAGACGGGGUGAGCUAGUGGGUGGGGUGAAGGAUCACCUAGGCGACCAGCCCUAGCUGGUCUGAGAGGGUGACCAGCCACACUGGAACUGAGAUACGGUCCAGACUCCUACGGGAGGCAGCAGUGGGGAAGAUUGCACAAUGGGCGCAAGGCUGAUGCAGCCAUGCCGCGUGUAUGAAGAAGGCCUUCGGGUUGUAAAGUACUUACAGCGGGGAGGCGGUACUCGCAGAAGAAGCACCGGCUAACUCCGUGCCAGCAGCCGCGGUAAUUC